UCUCUCGUCGGAGGCGAAAUCGUUUUUCGACGGGUUGCGCCCUUUUUUCGUCGGAUUGCAAGAUUUUACUUUGAAUAAAUUAGAGCGUUCAAAGCAGGCGAAAUCGUCUUGAAUACGUUAGCAUGGGAUAAUAGAAUAGGACCGUAAGAAUUUUUUUCGGUUUAACGUUUACUGGUUUCUAAAGCCGAGGUAAUGAUUAAUAGGGACAGUUGGGGUCGCUCGUACUCGGCGGUCAGAGGUGAAAUUCUAAGACCCGCCGAAGACGAACAAGUGCGAAGGCAUUCGACAAGGAUGUUUUCUUUAAUCAAGAACGAAAGGUAUGGGAUCGAAGAUGAUCAGAUACCGUCGUAGUCAUAACCGUAAACUAUGUUGACUCGGGAUCCGAAGAAGUUACAUGGAUGACUCUUCGGGCACCGUGUGCGAAAGCACAAGUAUUCGAACUCCGGGGGGAGUAUGGUCGCAAGGCUGAAACUUAAAGGAAUUGACGGAAGGGCACCACCAGGUGUGGAACCUGCGGCUUAAUUUGACCCAACACGGGGAAACUUACCCAGUCCGGACGCUACGAGGAUUGACAGAUUGAUAGUUCUUUCUUGAUUUUGUGGAAGCCGGUGCAUGGCCGUUUUUAGUUGGUGGAGUGAUUUGUCUGGUUAAGUCCGAUAACGAACGAGACCUAAUUUUGUUAAAUAGUACAGCCAACAAGGGGGUCGCCGGUCGUUUCGGUCGCGGGUUUUCGCCCGCGCUCGUGCGAUCGGGGCCUCCGCUCGUUUGUUGGUAGCUAGAUUUACUUCUUAGAGAGACUCUUGGUCGAUAACAGCAGCCAAUGGAGGCUUUAGGCAAAAACAGGUCUGUGAUGCCGCUAGAUGUCUGGGGCUGCACGCGCGCUACACUGACGUGUUCAACGAGUAUUUUAGAAUUACCUGGCCCGAGGGGGUUUCCGGCAAUCUCUAAAAGCACGUCGUGAUGGGGAUCGUGCCUUGUAACUAUUGCACGUGAACGAGGAAUACCUAGUAAGGGCAAGUCAUCAACUUGCCCUGACUACGUCCCUGCCCUUUGUACACACCGCCCGUCGCUUCUACCGAUCGAACUACUCGAUGAGGACUCGGGAUGCGGAGCGAUGUCUCGGUUCUGCCGAGCGCGUUUCGCAGAACCUGU
rnacentral:rRNA from 1 species